rnacentral:lncRNA from 1 species
AAUUUUAUAAAUAAACACAAUUUAGUAAAUAUAGCUAUGACGAAAACUUGGCAAACGUUCAAUUUGACCUGAUUCAUUAUAAUUGUGAAUUACGCAGUUCUAUAGUUCCAAUAAAAGACUUUGACCAUAACAAACAUCGGAAAGCAAGACUUCGGGGAGAUGGAUAUACAGAAGUGUCAUUUAAUGUAACUUGUCUACAGGUACAACCAGGUAAGUCAUUUUAUACUAUUUGAUUACAUAUGUGAGGACACGUGUUUUUGUUUUUGUUUUUAUCUUUGAAGUUAUAUAUUGCGUAUUGUCAAAAUUAUCUGUUUCCUUCAAUAAAAACAUAUUUUAUAUAUGAAUUUGUCAAUAAACAUGAUUUAAUUUUAACGACCACUGAAGCAUGUAUCCUAUUUUUCUUAAAUAUUGAUAAAACGUGUGGCUUAGUAUUUACGUAAUUAACUGCAGAUAUGUCGUCAUUAAAUGGAAAACAGAAGAACUAAGGGAUGACAUCAAAAGUUCAAUGUAGGAUAAAAAACUUAAUUCACAUAGUUUUUUCACUGACCCCCACCACCCCCCCCUCUGAACUUAAUUUGGGAAACAUUGAUUUACCAAUAGGGAUAUAUGUAAAAAUUGAUUUUAGAUAUACAAAACUUGCAGAAGUUUAACCCCCCACCCCCAAACUAUUUGAUUUAAGUUUUUUAUCCUACAUCGAUCUUUUGAUGUCGUCCCUAAAGUGCAAUUCACUUUUCAACAAAUAAGAUUUUAUCUUUUUUUACGUGUUUGCUUCUGAUUUUUUCUUCCUUUUCUGUUUUGUCUGUAAUUCAUAGUAUUUAGAUGCAGCGACACUCAUGCUCUCUUUCUAGCAUUCUAUUACAAAUAUGUCACUGUGUGUUUCCCAUGCUAUCAUUGAUGUAUAUCCAGGGUCUAUACAACUAUAUAAAUCUGUGCUUACACAUCUAAGGUCUAUUUGAAAUAGACAAUGGACAUAGUUUGUACGCCAUUCUGAAGAGGUUCACAGCUCCCCUUGUUACAUUGAUAUAUAAGAUUUAACAAAUUGGUAGGCAGGCGACUGAGAUUUUGAUACUUUUAAGUAAUAUAUAUUAAAACAUUGGCAAAUGUAUCGGCAACUAGAACCGAGAAUCUAAAAAUAUUGUAUGAGCAUCCGGGCACAACAAUCAUAUUAUUGCAUAAGAUUCAGUUUUAUUAAGUCGUCACAAAGUUUAAAUACGUAUCAACAUUGAAUGAUUUAGAUGAGACACCCAACGCACAUCACACAGCGGUAAGACAAAGUCCGUCCGUCUGUCCGUUACAUACUACCAUACUGAUCAUGAUUGCGUUUGUUCGAAAACUUUCAUCCUUGUUAGAUUUUAUAAUAAUCAUAUCCACUUAACCAUACUAUAACUUCUCGUUUAACAAUUGAACAAUUUGUAUGGAAUAUAUACAAGUAGUUCAUAUCGAUAUGUCAUUAUAGUUGGGUUUUUUUUUUCGUGUAGUUGUUGUUGUUGUUUUUGUUUUGUGUCUACUCUUCGUUGGUUUUCUGUUCUCGGGCUUCCGAGUGCAUGUAAUGAUUUUGUGUGAUCUAUGAAACAACAAAACAGAGGAAGCUUUGUGUCUCUAUAAAGUACUUUGAAUUAAAACUCUCAUAUUUCUUGCUUAUAAAAUACACGUUCGUAAUGUUUUCACAGAUUAUAUACGAACGGAGACAACUAAAAAAAAAGGCCAACCAAAAACCAAUCAAACCACCACAUACGAACGAUAAAUAGCCAUGUUAAUCUCUUGGUUGGUUAAUGGGUUUCCUAGUACGCAAUUAAAACCAAAAAAAAAUGGAACAAUUUAGUCCUGUAAACCUCUUGGUUUGUUAUGUGAUUUACCUGUGCCCAUUUUAAUACUACAGGUGUCCACACAAUAUGUUACAUUUCUAGAGUUAUUUCGAUCUGACAAGAAUAUCUUCGCACAACGCCUCCUCUUUACGGAAAAGCUACGCUUAUCCAAUAUUUUCAAACCCAUCCCUGCUAUUACCAUUCCUUGUUAAACUGGUAUAAAAUUUGAUGAUUCCAGGAAAAUAGCAUUAUGUAACAACGGCACAUUUAUAGAAAAAAAGUUGAAUAAUUGAGUAGUUUCGUUAGCUAACUUAUUGACUUUGUCUAUCAAAGUAAAUUUAUCUGUCUGGUAUAUAGUAACUUGUAAAGAAGCAAUCGAUAGUAUAACGCUAUUAAACAAUUACUGAUUCCAGAAUAAAUUAAAUACAAAGAUAUUCAUAUCAAAGUACAUUUUUUCUCCAAUGCUGUUAUUCCCUGCAAUGUUUCAUAACAGCCAAGUUGUUUCUUCGAGUUUAAUCCACAAUGACAAUGACAAAUGUGUCUCAAAGAAAUGUCAAUUACAGUUCUAUUUUACUUGGCAUCUGUGACGCGGGAAAACUGAAUUUCAAAAUGCUGCAAUGCAAAAGGUUGGUUAAUCAUUCGAUUUUGUGGUAAACGGUAAAUAAAAUUGGAAUAAAGAAAGACAAGAAAUAGAAGACAGUUACGUUCAGGUGUGCUGAUUUAAAUUCCACUAUAUGUUCUUUGCGUGUCAAAAAGACUCUUUUGUCAUCUACAUGCACUUACAUGAGUGACUGGAAAUAUACAAACGAAUAUACAUAUAGAUGACACUGUUUAUUGUUUACGUCUACUGCGCGAUCUGCUCUAUGAUAUGUCGUUCGAUUUCUAUUAUUCACUCAAUGUAAAAGACGAGAGUGGCAGAAUUAAAAGGUUAAUAUAAGUAAAUUGCAUUGACUACGUAUUCGAAGGUGAAUACAGAGUUAUGUUUAACAAAACAAGAGCGUUUUGAUCAACACAAACAUAUAUGAUUGUUUGUUUGAUUGUUUAUUUGAUAUAAAUAUCUAACAUCACUUUGAGGGAUAUUUGCUAUAUCAUGGUGACCCAAAUGUAGAACCUACACCUCUCUUUGGGUCAGAAACUUGGCGACUAAUAGCUGCGUUUACUUAAACAUUAUUGGAAUUAAGUGGCCAAACCAUCAUAAGAACCAACGAAAUAUAGAGGACAAGACAAACAUCUGUAGAAAGAUUGGACAAACUCUACAUAAAACAACACAAAUGUAACUAGACAGUCGUUAGAUUCAAAUCCUCAGGGCCAUCAUAAAAGAGGGCAAGCAAAAACCGUCUGGCGCAGAGAUUUGGCAUCUGAUCUAUAGAAUAUUGAGAAAACGUGGGAGGGGCAAAGAAACUAGCAAAAGACAAGAAAAGAUGGAAAGCCAAUGUGGUCGCCCUUAGUCCCCCAUGGGACGAAGUGGAUUAAGUCAAGUAGGUCAUGGUGACAGCAUUUUAUCGGCAGUGGAAGCUAUUGUUCCCGGAGAAAACAACGACCUUCAACAGAAAGUUUCUUGUCAACUACAAAUGUACGAAGAAAGUCCCACUGAAUACUAGUAAAUGAAUAAGGAAGGAGAAAUGAGUACUAGUAAAUUAAGACAGGAAGACUGAGUUUUAGAAGAACUACACAUAGAUGGGUUCUACGAGAUUUAAACCGAAUGACUAAGUAUGCGCGUAUAUUUAAGCACUAUUUGGCUUGUGUAUACUAGUUUAUAUAGACAGCAUGACUGAGUACUUUAUUAAAUAGAUACAUAGUCAGAUUGAUCGAGUCAUAGUAGUAGUAGAUUUAUGUUGUAGCACUGAGUACUCGUAGACGUUUAUAGUUGAGGAUUGGUACUGUAAAAUUCAGACAUAAAUACUGAUUACUAUCCGAUUUAGUGAAGAUGACCGAAUACUACUAGAUUAAGGUUGUAAGACAGAGUACAAGCAGACGUAUGCAGAAUGACUGAUUACAAGAAGAUUUAAGCAGAAAUACUGAGUACUAGGAGAUGUAGACAGUGUGAUUGAAUACUGAUAGAUUUAGGCAUGAAGACUGAAUACUCAUGAUACUAGACGAUUUAUGCAAAAUUAUUGACUUGAGUACUAGAAGAUGUAAACAGGUGGUCUAAAUACUACAGGAUUUCUCAAGUAGUAGAAGAUUCAGACAUGAAGACUGAAUGCUAUGCAGAAUAUUCAUGUAGGCGGACUGAGUACUUAUAGAAUCAAACAGAACACUAACCAAGUGCUAGUAGAUUUGGAUUGGAGAAUUGGAGUACUAAACUAUUUAGGGCUUCGAUAAAUCUCUUUGCUCUGCAUUGGAGACCAAUAUCUGGGACAGUUAGUGUCCGAGGAAAGAAAGGGUGUUAUUAUAAAAAUUGGUAAAAAUAUGGCUAAUCAUAUCGAUGCAAAGUAGUUUUAUUAAAAGAUUUUUUUUUCUAGAUCAGAGAAAGGAGUGAAUAUCUAGUGCCAAGAUUUCUAUGUGAAGCAAGUUGGAGGGAAUUCAUUCACCAUUAACAAUGGAUACUUUAGAAUUAUUUAAGCCUUAGUUUUUGCAUAAACAUAAAACCAGGAUACUUUACAC